GUGACAGUCUAGGGCCGUCAGCCCGUUCUGGCCCUGAGUCCCUGCCUCGUUCCCACCUUGGUAGGCUGGGUGAGGUGUGGCGCUGGGUGUGAGGUAUGACGCUGAGGGUGAGGUGUGGCUGGGUGAGGUAUGACGGAGGCAUUGUCAACCGGAAGUCAGUAAAAGCCGAGUCUGGUCUUAUUUUUAUCUGGCUACCAUGUUAAUUAGCUGAUGUCCCCAGAAGCAAUGCAUGGCGGGUAGCUCUUCACGGGUAACUCUGAGAGAGUUCAGGAAUCAAGUGGCUUCAGAAAUCGACUGAGGGCAAAAGGGAGGAGACAGAUGUAGGUGUGUGGCCAGGUGGCGUACAGUACUGGAGAAAGAACAUUUGAGGUGUGGCGGAAAGGAAAUUUGAGGCAGGGCUUUGAAUGGGAAUGUGUGGAUUUUAGAUCUUGAUUGAUGGCCACUCCCGCACACGUUCUCACUUAGAAUAACUACACCACCCCUGAUAAAGAACAGCUCAUUCCUUUGUGUUUCUAACUUCUGUUUUCUUUUUCACGGUACAGCUUGGCACUGAGCUUCUUCCCAGGAGAUUGCAGGAAGUGAGACAGAAUACCACACCAGGGAGCUCGUGACUAGGACAAAGUUCUUCAUCCCACCAUUGGGAGAGGAAGGGAUUGGACUGGAGCCCCGCCAUCCCUACUAAGGCCAUCCCUAGGAACUGCUUUGCAUCAAUAGACCAGGAAGAACUUUUUAGCAGAGCAUAUUCAGCAUGAUGAAAGUUGAUAAUUACCGCUGAAAGAGAGCUGUGGAUGCAGUGACACUAGCAUUAAGGAAACUCUGCAGGUGCAGAAGAGAAAGCUAAAGCUUCACAUUGGCAUACACCAGAAAUGAAGCGUGGGAACCUGCUGCUGUUUGUUUGUUUGAUUGUUUGUUUGUUUUUUCGUUAUUCAACUUUGUGGGCAUGAUGGCCUCUCUCACAUGGUCAACUACUCAGGUUUUAGACCGUGAGCCAUCUCACGUAAAAGAUGCUGCACCUUUUAUGUGCACCGAAGAAUUCAUGUAGGCUUAGAUUCUGACAUAUCGGCUGAAAUAAAUACAAUAAUUGGUUCACUGUUUCCUUGGGGCAGAUGGGAAAGCAGACGACAAUCUAACCUUUCCUUGAGUAAUAUUCCCCUAAAAUGUCUCACAUUUUAUUGCCUAGCAAAAUUAGUGAUCUUCCCAAAAUUACAUAGGUAUAGUACACAAGCCUUCUGUCCAGUAAGGUAUCAUCGUUCACUCAUAGACUCACUCAUCAAUGAUUUUUACUGCAUUUAUUUAUGUAUUUGGUGAGUGGUAUGUAUGGGUGUGUGUAUGGGCACUUGUGAGGAGAUGAGCAGAUAACCUGCAGGGAGUCUUUUCCUUCCAUCCACUCUCUGGGUCCCAAGUACUGAACUCAGGUCAUCAGGUUGGCAACAAGUGUCUUUACUCACUCAACUGUCUGCCCGGCCCUCGUAAAUUAUUUUAAGCACAUAUUAUAUGCAAGGAACUAUGCUAAUUGGUGAGAGCUGUCAAGUGUUCAGGGAACCAGCAUCUUUACAUAAGAAGCAAUCAUUCCCUGAGGAAAUUAGUGUCAUAAGACUGCAGAAGUAUAGCAAGGAAAUAAUGACUUAUUAUUUCAACAGAUAAGCUGUAAAGAUACAAAAGAAUAAUUGAUCUAUAACUAAUAUUGCAUGAGAGUAACAACACUGUUGGGAAAUCUAGCCAUUUAGAACACAAAAGAACAUAUUAUAGUAGGACUAUGAACCAAAUAAAAAGUGAGUCAGCUUA
rnacentral:sRNA from 1 species